rnacentral:rRNA from 1 species
CCUACGGGUGGCAGCAGUGAGGAAUAUUGGUCAAUGGACGCAAGUCUGAACCAGCCAUGCAGCGUGCAGGAAGACUGCUCUAUGAGUUGUAAACUGCUUUUGUACGAGGGUAAACGCAGAUACGCGUAUCUGUCUGAAAGUAUCGUACGAAUAAGGAUCGGCUAACUCCGUGCCAGCAGCCGCGGUAAUACGGAGGAUUCAAGCGUUAUCCGGAUUUAUUGGGUUUAAAGGGUGCGUAGGCGGUCGGAUAAGUUAGAGGUGAAAUCCCGAGGCUCAACUUCGGAAUUGCCGCUGAUACUGGUCGGCGAGAGAGUAGUAGAGGUAGGCGGAAUGUAUGGUGUAGCGGUGAAAUGCUUAGAGAUCAGACAGAACACCGAUUGCGAAGGCAGCUUACCAAGCUACUUCUGACGUUGAGGCACGAAAGCGUGGGGAGCAAACAGGAUUAGAUACCCUAGUAGUC